GACGAACGCUGGCGGCGUGCCUAAUACAUGCAAGUAGAACGCUGAAGGAAGGAGCUUGCUCUUUCUGGAUGAGUUGCGAACGGGUGAGUAACGCGUAGGUAACCUGCCUGGUAGCGGGGGAUAACUAUUGGAAACGAUAGCUAAUACCGCAUAAAAUUGAUUAUUGCAUGAUAGUCAAUUAAAAGGUGCAACUGCACCACUACCAGAUGGACCUGCGUUGUAUUAGCUAGUUGGUGGGGUAACGGCUCACCAAGGCGACGAUACAUAGCCGACCUGAGAGGGUGAUCGGCCACACUGGGACUGAGACACGGCCCAGACUCCUACGGGAGGCAGCAGUAGGGAAUCUUCGGCAAUGGACGGAAGUCUGACCGAGCAACGCCGCGUGAGUGAAGAAGGGUUUCGGAUCGUAAAGCUCUGUUGUAAGAGAAGAACGAGUGUGAGAGUGGAAAGUUCACACUGUGACGGUAUCUUACCAGAAAGGGACGGCUAACUACGUG
rnacentral:rRNA from 1 species